rnacentral:tRNA from 1 species
GCGCCCGUAGCUCAGCCGGAUAGAGCAACUGGCUUCGAACCAGUAGGUCGACCGUUCGAGUCGGUCCGGGCGCGCCA